rnacentral:rRNA from 1 species
CAGCACCUCAAGUGGUCAGGAUGAUUAUUGGGCCUAAAGCAUCCGUAGCCGGCUCUGUAAGUUUUCGGUUAAAUCUGUACGCUCAACGUACAGGCUGCCGGGAAUACUGCAGAGCUAGGGAGUGGGAGAGGUAGACGGUACUCGGUAGGAAGGGGUAAAAUCCUUUGAUCUAUUGAUGACCACCUGUGGCGAAGGCGGUCUGCCAGAACACGUCCGACGGUGAGGGAUGAAAGCUGGGGGAGCAAACCGGAUUAGAUACCCGAGUAGUCC